UACAGAGGGGGCAAGCGUUGUUCGGAAUUACUGGGCGUAAAGGGCGCGUAGGCGGCCUGCUAAGUCGAACGUGAAAUCCCUGGGCUCAACCCAGGAACUGCGUCCGAUACUGGUUGGCUUGAAUCCGGGAGAGGGACGUGGAAUUCCAGGUGUAGCGGUGAAAUGCGUAGAUAUCUGGAUGAACACCGGUGGCGAAGGCGACGUCCUGGACCGGCAUUGACGCUGAGGCGCGAAAGCCAGGGGAGCAAACGGG
rnacentral:rRNA from 1 species